AUGGACCCAAGCCCAUCUUUCCUUUGUUGGAAUGUGAGAGGACUAAACAACCCAGGCAAGAGAGACGCGGUCAGAGCUUUCGUAGCUACAGUUAGAGUGAAUGUUGUUUAUCUCCAGGAGACAAAAUUGGAUGUAAUCGAUCGUUAUAACAUUAUGCAAUGCUUAGGGGCGUCUUUUGACGGUUUUUCUUAUGUGCCGGCAGUGGAGACUAGAGGUGGCAUCCUGUUAGCUUGGGACUCGACCAUCAUGGAGAUCGACCACUUUAAUUGGGACACUGACUUUAUCACGGGUUAA
rnacentral:rRNA from 1 species